rnacentral:rRNA from 1 species
UGGGGAAUAUUGCGCAAUGGGGGAAACCCUGACGCAGCAACGCCGCGUGAGUGAGGAAGUAUCUCGGUAUGUAAAGCUCUAUCAGCGGGGAAGAAGGAAGACGGUACCCGACUAAGAAGCCCCGGCUAACUACGUGCCAGCAGCCGCGGUAAUACGUAGGGGGCGAGCGUUAUCCGGAUUUACUGGGUGUAAAGGGAGCGUAGACGGCGUCGCAAGUCUGAAGUGAAAGCCCGUGGCUCAACCGCGGAACCGCUUUGGAAACUGCGAGGCUGGAGUGCUGGAGAGGUAAGCGGAAUUCCUGGU